GAUGAAGAACGUAGUGAAAUGCGAUAAGUAAUGUGAAUUGCAGAAUUCAGUGAAUCAUCGAAUCUUUGAACGCACCUUGCGCUCCUUGGCAUUCCGAGGAGCAUGCCUGUUUGAGUGUCAUUAAAUUCUCAAGACCUGUCUGCUUUUUUGAUAGGUAUUGGAUUUUGGGGGUUGCAGGCUGUUUCAAAUAAAUAGCCUUGCUCUCCUUGGAUGUAUUAGUGGAGAAAAGCCAUUGAACUCCAUUGGUGUGAUAAAACCUAUCAAUGCCAGGAGCAAUAUCACUACUUCUCUCUGCUGUCUAACUGUGACUAUCUGUAUUAAUUAGUAUGGAUGGGGACAACUUGACCAACUUGACCUCAAAUCAGGUAGGACUACCCGCUGAACUUAAGCAUAUCAAUAAGCGGAGGA
rnacentral:misc_RNA from 1 species